rnacentral:rRNA from 1 species
CCUACGGGUGGCAGCAGUGAGGAAUAUUGGUCAAUGGACGAGAGUCUGAACCAGCCAAGUAGCGUGAAGGAUGACUGCCCUAUGGGUUGUAAACUUCUUUUAUAUGGGAAUAAAAUGUUCCACGUGUGGGAUUUUGUAUGUACCAUAUGAAUAAGGAUCGGCUAACUCCGUGCCAGCAGCCGCGGUAAUACGGAGGAUCCGAGCGUUAUCCGGUUUUAUUGGGUUUAAGGGAGCGUAGGUGGAUUGUUAAGUCAGUUGUGAAAGUUUGCGGCUCAACCGUAAAAUUGCAGUUGAAACUGGCAGUCUUGAGUACAGUAGAGGUGGGCGGAAUUCGUGGUGUAGCGGUGAAAUGCUUAGAUAUCACGAAGAACUCCGAUUGCGAAGGCAGUUCACUGGACUGCAACUGACACUGAGGCUCGAAAGUGUGGGUAUCAAACAGGAUUAGAUACCCUUGUAGUC